CCCAAAUAACUAAUUAAGUAGAAAAGAAAAAAAAAAAAGCAGAACUCACAAAAGAAACCUUCUUCUCUUCCAUAUCUCACUAUCUCCUCUCCUCUCUCCAACAAACAUGGCAGUCAAAUUCCUUAUACCCUAAUUCUCAUUACUAAAUUUCGCCCAUGAACCUCAAUUUCUCGCUCUAACCGAAUAGAUCUGCUCAUUAUUUUGGUUUCACUUCGCAUUAUUGAGUCAGCGAUUCCAAUUUUCCUUUAGCAGAUUGUGAAGAAAAGUGUGAAAUUCGCUCUCCAUAUUUGAGGAUCUUGAACUUUUUCGAUCAGGUUGUUCUAAAUGGCACCAGUUGGAAGAAAGGCUACAUUUCUUGCACCUGGGAGUCCUGGUUUAAGGCGUAGUUUAGGGUUGAAAGUUCAUUCCUUCCUGGAGUAAAAAGCUAAAGCACCCUCAAACACUACGACAAGCAAUGAUAAUCAAGAUGCAAAUGUUCCCGAGGAACUAUCAGUGAAGCACCCAUGGAAGAGGAGAUGUCACAUGCAAGUCUCCUUCAAUCUCUUCGUGAGGACGUCGGAAAUGAUGACAAUGAUAUGUUACAAAGAUUCAUAAUAAUGCAACCCUUUCUAACUUCCUUGAGCAGCAAAAAUGCUUCACAAGAUGCCUCAACGACCAAGAUGAAGGUAUUAUACUAUUAUGUUAACUUUAGACAUGCAAUUAGCAAAAUGUUAUCAUGUUAAUAAUUGUUCUAGGGUCUGUUUAGUAUCCUGUCAGGGUCUGAUUGAUGGGCACUAUAGGUCAGGAUGUUUUUUGUAGCAAGUUGACCAGGGUUGAGUUUGUUUUGUUGGGUUCAAGCAAUCUGCUUUGCGGGCAGGUGUUGGGGAUGAUUCGUAGUCUGUUGCUAUUGUUCUGAGUUUCUUUGGUAUUCAGUUUUGAGCUCCAUUUUGAUGGGAAUUUGUUGGUGUAGCCUGCCUCUUUUCUUUGACAAUUAUGAUCAACCUUGGUAGAGUACCUUGGUAGAGUUGACUGUUAGUUUUGUGCCUUGUCAAUAUAUUACUUACUCUGCCUAUAUGCAACAACCUAGCGUUGGACCGUUGGUGACCAAGAAAUUUCUGAUGUUAGUUAAAGAUAAAGGUACACAAAUUCUAACUAUGCCCUUUAUUUUUGCCAUUUAUUUUCAGUUCGUUUUUUAUAGUUCUAAAAGCCAAUUCUGAUGGAAGAAGGGGAAUACCAAUAAUCAUUUUAAAGUGUAGUUGUUCUAAAAUAAUUAUAAACUCUCAUAAAUGAUAUUAUUUUUUAUUCACUUAAUUGUAUGCACUCUGUUCUUUGAUAGACCAUGUAUAGUGUAAAUUACUAGGAACUUACAGGAUAGAGAAAAAAGAAGAGAAGUAUAUAUUAGCCAAGAUCACCAGUUCAUGACUUCAUGUCCAUAAAGAUGAAUCAUAUAUAGUUCAUGUCCAUGCUAAAUUUUGUUUUAAACAGCUUAAUCAGUUAUCUUCGUGAAUAAAAAUCUCCUUGCUUGGGUUUCUGAAGUUCUAAACCCUCAUAUAUUAUACGGAGUAGUUGGUGUUCAAUGUUUCAUCUCAUUGCUUCAGCCCUUAGCUGGGUAAUUAAAUUUAAGUUCUUGUUAGUAUUAAAUAUUGGUACGCCAUCCUAGCUUUAAUUAUCUUCCAAGAUAAAAAAUUCCUUCCGAAAUUAGUAUGACACAUGUUCCGGGAUUCUUAGUGUAAUUGGAUGCAAUGAAUGAAGAAGUAAAUAUGUUUGAUCACCCUUAUAUAUUGUUCUUGCUGUAAUUGUGGUCAUAUUUUUUAUUUUCUAUCAUUUAAAUCAUAGUCUUGUUUUGUUGUCCAUCUUAAUCAUUCCUAUUUUAUAUAUGAAUGCAGGCACUUCAUGACUAAUGGGGCAUUAUUCAGCAUAAUAGUUCAAGGCUUAACAUGGAGAUUGGUUGUAUCUUCCAUCUAAUUAAUUGUAGCUUGUAAUACUUUUGGCAUACUCUAAUAUUAGCUUGUGAAUGUGAUGGGGUUUGUUUUUUUCAUUAGUGAGCACAAUAUAUCCCUUUGUAGGUAAUGUACUGUAAUCGACUUAUUUUUGUUAAAUGAAAAUUAGUGUUUGAGGUUA